rnacentral:lncRNA from 1 species
AGGUCAUUAUGUCAGAGUUGAUUGGAACACAUUUCUGUUCACUACUGUGGCCAUGGCCUUUGCUGUCCCUUUAGCUCUCCAAAUCACAAGCCUCCAGCUAUAGAGGCUGACCACUCUUCCCUGAUGCAGUUAUAUCUGGCCUCUCAUUAAGCCAAAGGGCUUCUCUAUCCCCCUGUUGUCUCGGGGACAUUACUGUCUUGCUUUCUCGUGGGUGUUUUGAUCUGCACUGCAGUGGACACUUGAAGGCCACACUCUCGUACCUUUCUGCCGGCAAAGCAUCGUCAUUUGAACAGCCCCGGUCAGGCAUUUCUGGUUAGAAUUGUGUGUUAGAACCAACAUAAAGGAAUCGCUAAGUGAAGAGGGAGGCCAUGUUGAAAUAACUAGGACAUGAAACUCAGGUAAUGAGGGACAGUAUUGAAUGGCUAAGCAGGUACAGAAUAUCUGUAUCUAACAAUUAUGAAAAGAACAUGUUGACAUUAUUUAUGAUGGAGUUUUGAAAAAUAAUUCAGAUAUAUAGGCUUAAAGGGAUAUAGACUAGACAAUAUAGAAUCUAGACACUAAAGAUCCGUAUGUUCCUGGUAGCAUGGUGAACUAAUUCGAAUGCCAUGCUUGGCCCUUGUCUUCUUUUGUGGGUGUAAACUUACAGAACCUAUUACAAGGACAGUUUGGGGGGAGCAGGUUUGUACCAUGGAACCCACAUCCCUGGCUGCUACAGACAAUGCUAAGAUGUGGAUCCUUGACUUAGGCAAAACUAGUCAGAAAAUUCCUUUUCGAUUACCUUAAAGUUGCAAAGCUGUGGUAGCUGGAUCCCAGGUUCUGUGUGGGAAUUUGUUCCAGUUGGGUUUGGUUUUGUCCGGCAGAAAGCAGACAGGGAAAUAAGUAGGCAAGAGGGGGACUGAGUUUUCUGUCAUCUAAGGCUUGAAAGAUGAGCUGUUUAUCACUCUCAGGGCCUCAGGCCCUUCUCUGUCAUUUCCACAGGAGUACGAGGAAACUGACUUUUAGGGCAAGGGGUAGCGAGGAGGCAGUCUUGAUUUGUGUAGCAUUUGCUUAAUUCCUAUGGUGAAAAUUUUUUUCCUACCAUGAACAGUUUCAAGCCACAAGGAUUUCACAAGGAGCUUGCAGAAAUUCCGAACCAUUGAACGGUCUGCUGUCUCCAGCACGCAGGAGCCCAUUCUGCCUCCCAGUUCCAGCUUCAGGAGGGCCACCCUCCAUCCAGACAUCAGGGUUGCGUUUCAGCAAACAGCAAGGAAGAAUCAGAAGCAAAGGGUAUCUUUUGUUCUCGUUUCCAGUGAACUCCCUCUGUGAGCCCUCACUGGCCAAACUUACGUACAUGACACGGAGGUCACCUGGAGGACCAAGGAUGUACGCAGGCAAAUGGGAAUCAAAUGUCCCUUGCUGCAGAUGAAGCAGCUUUGGAGAGUGGCCACCUUUCAGUAACGAGAGCAUUAGUAACUUCAGCUCAGAUAUGAAACAAACCAUCUGCUUGAAGAUGAACUUGCAACAUCGCCAGCCUGCCCACAUUCCCUUCCCCAUUUUGCUCCGAUAAAGGCGUUGUCUUCUUUUGAAGGUUCCCCUUACAAGUCUCCCAAAAUGGAAGAAGCUGCACUAAACACAAAUAGCCUCUCUCAAACACACCCACUAGGUGAGUGAGACAGACUGAAGACAAAUGGGACAAACGUCAUGUUAGUUGAAACACAUUGGAACUUGGCAAGUAAGAGUUACUAUCUGAUAUGUAAGUCCCUCCCACCCUGUGAGGUUUAAUCAGCCAACCAUUGGCUUACAUGGAAUUCCUCUAAUCCUUAUCAUCACGUGCAAUUACUGAAAUGAAUACCAGGUUUUAGAAAUGCUACAACAGUUCCUGACAGAAUGAUAAUCAACGGCUAUACCGUAUGGGUCAGAUCCGAGAUAGAAUAGGCGUUCCUAAGACUAUGCUUAAGGAAGAGUUGGAGCAGAUAGGAUUUUCACACAAUGGUCAAACAUGAGGCUGUUCGUGAAGCCAAGGCAAGCUCUCUGACGGGAUGCGAGCACGGAGAGCAUUUUACUCCCGGCUAUGUCAUGGAUCCUGCAAGAAUGGGUUACAUGGACAUGAUGUGGUGGCGGAAUUGAAUACCGCAAACCUCGUGCCUAAAUAUCUGUUGGACGGCACUGGGAAACCAGGCAGGCGCGGUUUACCUGGGAGUAAGGCGUGGAUAACCCCACCAGAGUAGUAUUUAGUUCACAGAGCAGGGCAUUUGAAGCUAUUGAAAAAUAUAUACUAUUUUUCACAGAUUAUUCAGGAAGAAGUAUUACCCCCUAAAAUUUUCAUAUGCAUGGCCUAACAGAUCCCCUUUUCUGUUUAAUCCGGUUAAGCUAAGGAGCCCUGACUAAUACACCUGACUAAUAGGGCGCAGGGAAGAAUUCCUCAGGCUUGUGGGUGUGUUAGAAAGACUUGCUAAACUGCAGGUUGCUGGCCUCUCCUCCACAGCGCGUGAUGUGGUAAGGCAGGGUCCAACGCUACCGAAACUGCAGUCACUUGUUAUGCAUGAGCGAAUGAGUAAAUAGACUCGGAGUGAAUCCUUUAGUUCAUAAAAUAAGAGAUCACGUCUGAUGGUCUAGGGUUGUAAUUGUUGCUUUGUGAGAGGCUGAGGCAGGAGGAUCACGAGUUUCCGUCUCUUCUGACCUACCCAGUGAAUUCAAGGUCAGUCGUGGCUACAUGGUGAGACCCUGGACAAAGUUAGGACUGGGAGAUGUAGCCCAGUGAUUACGACGCAUGCGCGAGGUCCUCAGCUCGCUUCCUAGCCCUUCAAAAGAGACAGAAAUGAAACAAAAUCAUGACAUAAACCACGAGAUGGGACGAUCUCUGGGAUUUGUUUGUUUCUAUGAGUCUAAACUACAAAAUGUUCUACUUAUAUAGUUUGCAUUUCUUAAUUUGUUAUGUGUAUGUACGUGGGGCUGGGACACACAGGCCACGGUAUACGUGUGGGCUUAAGAAGAAACCUCACAGUUCUCUCCAAACUCAGCUCCGCACCCUUGGUAGGGAGCAUCUUGAUUCUCCGAGCCAUCUUGC